GGGGCUAUAGCUCAGUGGUAGAGCACCUGCUUAGUAUGCAUGAGGCCACAAGAUUGAGUCCUAGCACCA
rnacentral:tRNA from 1 species